CGGGUGAGUAAUACAUCGAAACGUGUCUUCUAGUGGGGGAUAACUGCCCGAAAGGGCAGCUAAUACCGCAUGAGACCUGAGGGUGAAAGCGGGGGAUCGCAAGACCUCGCGCUGGAAGAGCGGCCGAUGUCCGAUUAGCUAGUUGGUGAGGUAAAGGCUCACCAAGGCGACGAUCGGUAGCUGGUCUGAGAGGACGACCAGCCACACUGGGACUGAGACACGGCCCAG
rnacentral:rRNA from 1 species